GCAAGACAUCCGCCCAGUUGCCUCUUGAUCAAGGAACCGGUGGUGGAUGGAUGUGGAGCUGCCCUACGUCAGGUGGCACAGCUGUGCGUGCUUCCCCACUAAUUCUAAUUCUAGGUUGUUGUCUGCUUAGUAUAUUCAGUCGCGUGGCGAGGGGACGAGCAUCAAGUGGCAGAGUUGUGUUGUGCCGGCUGUUAUCCAUCCGAGAGCAAAGCAAAAGCGAAGGUGAAGAUUCCGGCGUCGGCUGCAGGGUGCCCGUGCGUGCUGGUUGGAGAUUGCUCCGGUUCAUCACCGCCAAGGCUAGGUGUUUGUGGAAUUCCCCGCCUCCUUUGCAAGGAAAGGCUGCUAGGAAGAGGGAGAGCGAGGAAAGGAUGGGCAUGCCGCGGGGGCUGUCGGCGUACAUGGUGGACAUGGUGUGGGCGGUGCUCGCCGGGUGGGUGUCGGCGUGCCUGCUGGUCGCCAACGAGAUCGCCCGCGGCAUGCGGGCCGGGGAGAUCGGCCCCUUCGUCGUGGGCUGAAUCUCACUCCUGGGGAAAUCCUCCCUCCCUUCUGACUCCUUCCUUCAGGCUGAUAGUUUUUUGGCGGAUCCAUCCAUGGAUACACAUUGCAUUAUACUGUACAAAGUCCCUAAAUCUCCAUUAGUGUUGAGCUGAAUGGCUUGGCCAUUAAUAGAAGUGACAGAGAUUCUAGAUGAUGCUUUCUUCUCUCCUUCCUUUCCACAAUUCUUCUGUUCUGUAUUAGUAUUGUGAAGAAUUUAUUUUUCCUUUUACAUUAUAGUUCUCUAAAGAUAUGUGCAUCUGCUUAAGAAUGGGUCAUAAACAUAUGUGCAACUUCAUGUUAUGUUCUUUUACAUUAUGAA